AGCCGGGGCCACACGGGAGUCACUGACCACAGCCAGGCGAGAGCCGGCUUUCCGGUGCCGCCACAUUCCGGGCACCAGGCUCCGGGCUCUUCAGAGCAUUUGGGGCGGGCGACGGAGGUCCCGUCCACUCUCGCUUGGGUGCAGAAGGGCGCGGCGGUGCCAGGAAGCCGCCUUGGAGGCUCCAAGAUUAGCUCAAACUCAGCGCGGCCAAGCGCAGGUGCGGGGGCCCUCGCCGCCGCCCUGCUUAUCUGGGGACAGUCCCGGAACCCGGGGACCCGGCUCCGCCCCAACCCGCGCCCUCGUCCACCCGCAGCAGCCAGGCCUCUUCCCCGGCCCCGGGAGCCCGCGCCGCGCCCGUCGCUCGCGCGUUCCAGUCCAGGCUACGAGCAGGUGGUGCCUCGGUGCACAAUGCCAUGCAGCUGAAGCCGGGCAAACCCAAUGGCUGGAGGAUUCCCUUCAACAGCCAUGAGGGCGGCUGUGGGGCUGCCAUGCGGGCCAUGUGCAUUGGUCUCAGGUUCCCACACCAUAGCCAACUGGACACACUGAUCCAAGUGAGCAUCGAGAGUGGUCGGAUGACCCACCACCACCCAACAGGCUACCUGGGGGCCCUUGCGUCUGCUCUUUUUACAGCCUAUGCUGUGAAUACCAGACCACCUUUGCAGUGGGGAAAAGGACUGAUGGAGCUGCUACCAGAAGCUAAAAAGUACAUUGUCCAAUCAGGCUACUUUGUAGAGGAAAAUCUUCAACACUGGUCCUACUUCCAAACCAAAUGGGAAAAUUACCUAAAACUUAGAGGGAUUUUGGAUGGAGAAUCAGCCCCUACCUUCCCUGAGUCUUUCGGUGUGAAGGAGAGGGAUCAGUUCUACACCUCCCUGAGCUACUCUGGCUGGGGUGGCAGCAGUGGGCACGAUGCCCCCAUGAUUGCCUAUGAUGCUGUUCUUGCUGCAGGAGACUCCUGGAAGGAGCUUGCCCACCGAGCCUUUUUCCAUGGUGGAGACAGUGAUUCUACAGCUGCCAUUGCUGGCUGCUGGUGGGGAGUUAUGUAUGGUUUUAAAGGAGUGAGUCCCUCCAACUAUGAGAAACUAGAAUACAGAAACCGGCUGGAAGAGACAGCUAGGGCCUUAUAUUCUCUCGGGUCAAAAGAAGACACUGUAAUUUCCCUUUAGGGAGAUGUGAUGUUCACUUCUGAUGGAUUCUUCUUUUGUGUAUUUCCUUUUCUGCUAUUUCUUUUCAGUUUUUCCAAAGUCAAGAGUCUUAACCUUGUACUCAGGGAAUUUUGAGAUAACAAGUCCCUUGGGCACCUUAAGCUCAGUUUUUUCAGGCUCAUCCUGUUCUUCCAGAAUCUAUCCCUUUUCUUACACUGAAGAGUCUUUUAUCUCAAUUGAUAGGGUCAGCGUCUCGCAAGCAAAAAAUCUCAUGACCUCAUAUUUGAGUCUUCAUUUUCAUCAUCUACUUGUUCUAAAAGUUUUUUCUGUUUGUCUCAAGUUGGGUUCCCACAAAG
rnacentral:sRNA from 1 species